GGCCAGAUAAGAGAAUAAAAGCAGGCUGCCCCCAAGCCAGCAGUAGCAAAGCUGUCCGUUUUGGUUUCUCACCGUGGAAGCUUUGUUCUUUUGGUCUUUUGUAAUAGGUCUUGCUGUUGCUCAGUGUUUGGGUCUACAUUACUUUUGGAGCUGUGGCACUCCGCGUGAAGGCUUGCAGCUUCACCCUUGAAGCCAGUGAGACCAUGAACCCACCAGGAGGAGUGAAGGCUGUCUUGUCUUAAGUAGUCCUACCGGCUGUAACGGUUGUUGUGAAAGUCUGUAUCCUCACUCGUGAGCCAGCAAGACCAUGAAUCAACUAGGAGGAAGAAACUCCGAACAUAUGCGAACAUCAGGAGGAACAAACUCUGGAUACGCUGCUUUUAAAAGUUGUAAUGCUCACUGAGCAGGUUUGCGGCUUCAUUCUUGAAGUCAGUGAGACCAAGAACCCACCAAUUCUGGACACAAAAUCUGUUUGCCUGUUUAGAGGCAUACUACGGGGUUACAUUAGAAGCCCACCGAGAUAAUCCAAUACAAUCUUCUGAUCUCAAAAUCCUUCACUUAAUGACAUCUUUGGCAACUUGAAAUAAUAAUCACAGGUGUCUGACUUUUAAGUACCAGCGUUGAGUUUGGCCCUCUGCUGUUUAUCAGGCAUAGCUGCCACAGAGAAA
rnacentral:lncRNA from 10 species